GCCUUCGUGGUGUAAUGGUCAGCACACUGAGCCGGUAUUUCAGAGGUCCGAGGUUCGAUUCCCGGCGAAGGAA
rnacentral:tRNA from 1 species